CCCAGGAUGAGUGACUACGGCCUGGAAGGGAGAGCAGGGAGAGUGGGUGUCCAGCGGUUCAGUGGUCUGGUCAGGGAGAGUGGGUGUCCAGGGGGUCAGUGGUCUGGUCAGGGAGAGUGGGUGUCCAACGGGUCAGUGGUCUGGUCAGGGAGAGUGGGUGUCCAGGGGGUCAGUGGUCUGGUCAGGGAGAGUGGGUGUCCAGGGGGUCAGUGGUCUGGUCAGGGAGAGUGGGUGUCCAGGGGGUCAGUGGUCUGGUCAGGAAGAGUGGGUGUCCAGGGGGUCAGUGGUCUGGUCAGGGAGAGUGGGUGUCCAGCGGGUCAGGGGUCUGGUCAGGGAGAGUGGGUGUCCAGGGGGUGUCAGUGGUCUGGUCAGGGAGAGUGGGUGUCCAGGGGGUCAGUAGUCUGGUCAGGGAGAGUGGGUGUCCAGCGGGUCAGGGGUCUGGUCAGGGAGAGUGGGUGUCCAGCAGGUCAGGGGUCUGGUCAGGGAGAGUGGGUGUCCAGCAGGUCAGGGGUCUGGUCAGGGAGAGUGGGUGUCCAGCGGGUCAGUGGUCUGGUCAGGGAGAGUGGGUGUCCAGGGGGUCAGUGGUCUAGUCAGGGAGAGUGGGUGUCCAGCGGGUCAGUGGUCUGGUCAGGGAGAGUGGGUGUCCAGCGGGUCAGGGGUCUGGUCAGGGAGAGUGGGUGUCCAGCGGGUCAGGGGUCUGGUCAGGGAGAGUGGGUGUCCAGCGGGUCAGGGGUCUGGUCAGGGAGAGAGAGUGAGAGAGACGGACAGACAAAGCUCAACCUGGG
ensembl:lncRNA